CGGAACAUCAACCAAGUCCUGGAUUUGAGCUUCUAGAAAGGGAGUAGCUUCUACUUGGCUAUUGAAGAGACGAAUUUGGGGGUGUCGCCAGUUUGUGUUAAAAGAAAACUUACCCUUUGAAGGCCGGACGAAGAAAAAUCGGGACUUCCAUCCGCUAUUCGAAUUCCUAAACUUAGGGAAUUGCAUAGGUACCCUAGUGGUAAAAUAGACAAAGGCAUUACAUUGAACUAACUCAUGCAUUUCGAAGAUACACCUGAAAAGAUCCAUGGAAGAUGAUAUUCCCUUUUUGAGACAGACGUACAGAAAAUAUAACGCUUUUCUCCAUGCAUUAGGAUUAAUUUGAC
rnacentral:lncRNA from 1 species